rnacentral:misc_RNA from 1 species
GAUGAAGAACGUAGCGAAAUGCGAUAAGUAGUGUGAAUUGCAGAAUUCAGUGAAUCAUCGAAUCUUUGAACGCACAUUGCGCCCUUUGGUAUUCCAAAGGGUAUGCCUGUUCGAGCGUCAUUUGUACCCUCAAGCUUUGCUUGGUGUUGGGCGUCUUGUCUCUAGCUUUGCUGGAGACUCGCCUUAAAGUAAUUGGCAGCCGGCCUACUGGUUUCGGAGCGCAGCACAAGUCGCACUCUCUAUCAGCAAAGGUCUAGCAUCCAUUAAGCCUUUUUUUCAACUUUUGACCUCGGAUCAGGUAGGGAUACCCGCUGAACUUAAGCAUAUCAAUAAGCGGAGGA